AGUCACCACUGGAGCACAUGGGGUGACAUUUAGACUGCACAGUAGCGCAGGGGGGAAAGUCAUGUCUGCCGAGCGGCCGAGUGCGGAGGGUGAGCCUAGGCAGGAGAACGCAGAGUGCCCUGGAACCGCCAACAUGUCUGUUCUUAGACCACGUGGACAGACGUUACAGCCGACUAGUCCCCUGCACCAACCCUUGGCAGACUCUGUUUAGAUCUGCCCCUGAUAGAGUUGAUUUCUCUUGCUGCUGACACCUUCCUCAUUCUUUUUACCUCCUUUUAAAAAUAUUUCUCUCUUCCAAGAAUUCGGUAGAUGGUCCCAAACCAAAGACGUUACAGAAGUCUUCCUGGAUCUCAGAUACCCACGUGGGAUGCGUCACUUUGAGUACGAUGACCAACUACUGCCAAUGAAACUGAAGAUUUUACAGUAUUCCGCCAGAAAGGUCUAUCAUGGGCAUAGAAGACCAGCCAUCAGCCUCUUGGGACUGCCUGACGGAUGGACACAAUGCUGACUGUCGUUUCCUACCCCAUCCUAGAGCCAAUCAAAAUGACACACGUAACUAAGAAAGCUUUUGAACUGGAAGUGUGUUUCUGCUUCCCCUUGAGAUCAAAGUUUCAAGAUCCUAGAAAGUUCUCAAUAAAUGCCUGUGACAUGGAUGGAUGAAUCCACAGAUCAAUAAGUAGAUUGGCCCCAUACUGUUUCCUGUCUCCUGUGUACCUCCGGAACCGGUGCUUUUGACAAUCUGUGAGCUAUUCUCAAAGAGUAAUAAACAAAAAAAAUUGAGG